CAGUGAUAUUAAAUACUCCGUAUGAAAAUGCGCUUAAAUUUUGAAAAUCCCUCUGAUUUUUAAUAAAAUUUGGUGAGUCACUAUUUGGAGGACGGUGAGGACCCUCUUUACUUAUUUUCUCUCUCUUCCGCUCAUUUUCUCUCUCCUAUCUCUCUUUCUUUCCUCCAUUGAAGCGGCGUACUCUGGUCUUUAUUUCCUCCAUUGAAGCUGAGUUGAGAUGGAGGGAGAUCUAGUAUGCUUCACCAGACCACCGCUGCACCGCACCACCAAAAGUCAGUGCCACCAACGCCGCCACACCUCCUAGCCGACACCACUAACACAACUGACACCGCAAGGGGUUUGGGUAUAUAGCUUUCAAUUAUUAUUCAUGAGCUAAUCAGUUUUCAACGAUAAGCACUGACUUAAAUUAGGAUGAUGUAAACUGUUUCCUGAGCACAUCAAUGAUUGGUAUAUUUCUACAUUAUGAUGAUUGAUGAAUAACUACUAACUCUCAAGCACGACAAAGGGAUAUGCGUACUUGUGAAACCGUUAAUUUGAUGCUAGCUUAAAGUCACCAAUAAUAGGUACUUUGUUCCAUUUACGUGAGCUCCUGUGCAGCUAAAAGGCUUUGGUCAUUGCUCAUCGACAUGAUCUACAGUUGUGAUGGCUGGGAGAGUACUGUUCGUAGAAGCUGGUAGGUUGCACGACAUUGAGUAGACGACUAAGGAUAAAAGGGGCCAAUUAUAGAGUUUCAACAAAUUAUGAAGAAACACCUGCUUAAGUUUUUCAUACUAUUAGCUCAAACUUAUGUCAAAAUUAUGUUAUAAGGAAUAUACAUGUAGUUAUAGGUGUUAUUUGAACUUGUAAAUUUUUUUUAAGUGCGACAUUAUAUUUAUGUACUCUUAAAUUUUUAAAUCCAAUAAUAUUU